CGAGACCUCAAGAAGCGGAUGGUGGAGUCAGCCAGAGCCCUCUUACCUUGUCUAGAAGACCAACCAACCAACCCGGCUCCUGCUACCCGACCACCUGUGAAACUACCGGAUGCUCCUGUUUAUCUGCCCCUCAAAUGCCAAUUUGAGUUGUCUUCGUCUUUCAUUUAUGCAUGGAGCAGGACAGGAAGUCCCUGACCAUUUCAUUGAUGAGCUGUGGCUUUCUGACCAUGCUCUGAGAGUCUGUUCCUAUCUCCAAGAUACCUUUCAGGAAACCAGUUAAGCUUCUUUUUUUCUGGGAUAGUGAGGUAGUUCAUGGGCUAAGAGCACUAGCUGCAUUUCCAGAGUACUAGGUUUGAGUCCCAGCACCCACAUAACAGCUCACAACCAUCUGUAGCUUCAGUUCUAAGGGAUCUAUUGCUCUUCUCUGGCUUCUCUGGGCACCAGGAACACUCAUGGUGUGCAGACAUACAUACAGGUAAAGCAGCCAUACACAUAAAACAAAUCUUUUAAAGUGUUUAGAUAAAUAAAGUUAAAAAGUUAAUUUUCUUUCACUUGGGGCAAGUGAGGUAGGAUCUGUGUAGUAGUGUAUUGUGCACAUGUGGUUCGUGCAUGGGUUUGUUGUAGUGUAUGUGUGCACGUGUGGUGUGUGCAUGGGUCUGCAUAGUAGUGUAUGUGUGCACGUGUGGUGUGUGCAUGCUCAUAUGAAGACUGGAGGUCAACACCAGGCGUCUUUCUGUAGUGCUCUCUACCUCUAUUUUUGAGACAUGGCCUGGAAAAUUGUGUGUCCUGGAUUGCUAGGCUGGCGUGGCAUCGAGCAUCC
rnacentral:lncRNA from 1 species